rnacentral:rRNA from 1 species
GUAGGUGGCAAGCGUUGUCCGGAAUUAUUGGGGCGUAAAGCGCGCGCAGGCGGUUCUCUAAGUCUGAUGUGAAAGCCCACGGGCUCAACCGUGGAGGGUCAUUGGAAACUGGAGAACUUGAGUACAGAAGAGGAAAGCGGAAUUCCACGUGUAGCGGUGAAAUGCGUAGAGAUGUGGAGGAACACCAGUGGCGAAGGCGGCUUUCUGGUCUGUAACUGACGCUGAGGCGCGAAAGCGUGGGGAGCAAACAGGAUUAGAUACCCUGGUAGUCCACGCCGUAAACGAUGAGUGCUAAGUGUUAGGGGGUUUCCGCCCCUUAGCGCUGCAGCUAACGCAUUAAGCACUCCGCCUGGGGAGUACGGCCGCAAAGGCUG